UGAUGAUGCCUCUGGCCAAGAUCAAAUAUAGCUAGAUUGGCUAGACUACUUGUUUGUUUACUUAGACUUUGGGAAGAAGCAUAUUACUGUGUCCUUCUGUUGUGUGUGUGUAUGUGUACAUAUAAUAUAAAUAUAUAUAUAAAGUUAUUUUUUUCCUUUGGUUAAUUUAUUAUAAGUUGUAACACUUGGCUAGUUUUGUUUGUAUAUGUCUUAAGAUGUUUUCUUAUGAUAUUUAAGUGACAGUUAAAGAGGUAUCAAGGUAACUUGUGUAGAACUAUUGUUUGAUAUAUUGUCAUGUUUGUUGUGAAUAUUUUUUCUUACUGCACAGUAGAAAAUUAAAAAAAAAAACUGGGUCUUUAUUUUAAUGUAAUUCAGAUUGGGGAAAACUAAACAGAGCUAAGGGAACAAAAGGACCGUGGGAGCAAACUCCCACGUCCAGUGCACUGAUCAUUUUAGUACGUUUGUGCUUUGUAUGGUUAUAUAUUUAAAACAAAAAUGAAACAAAAAAAAAUACAAGAGUUCAUGCUCUUCCCUGGGUAAUAGAAACAGUUACUCGCUAUGCAUAAUCUAGUUGAUAGUAAAAUUUGCUAUUGCUUUUCUUGUCUUGUUACAUAAAAUCUUUUCAAUACAAGUUUAGUCUUAAUGGUAAUAAAACGUUAUGGUUAUUUAUAACUUGUGCUUAUUUUGUGCAUUUUUUCCCAUGCUGAACCCACUAAGUGCAUGUAGACAGGACUGUUGUUUGCACAUUGAAGAGGCAAACUUUGUAGUAGUCGUUGUAGUGGUAGACAGAUAACGAAAACCGAGGCUGCAUCAUAGACUACUCCUUUAAAUUUUUUUUCUAUUUUUUUUUCCUCUUUUCGGUUUUUGGAGAAAAAUAAAUAACACCAGAUUUCAGUUCAGAGAACACUCGUUCAACAUUCAGGGAAACCUUUAUAUGUCACCUGCUAUGAAUGAAUGCAGUUUGCUGGCAAAGUUCUGAUGCAUUUGCUAAGCAUUCAUGGGAAAGGCAUGCCAAAAUCUCUUCUCUAUGAUGUGUUCAAUCUGAGGGAAAAAAAAGGAAAAAAAAUCUUAGGACCAGGCAGUUGUAUACUUUAGUUAUAAAUGAAUGACUUCAUGUUAAUCUUGCUAGUUUAGAUGAUUUCUGAGGGAAAGUAUUGUAAAUGUUUUUUUUUCAUAAUCUUGUUGUGUUUGAAUUAUUUGUACUUUAUCUGUCCAGACAAUAAAUGAAAGUGUGUAGAA
rnacentral:lncRNA from 1 species